GGUCGAGUAGCCAAGUGGUUGAAGGCGUCAGUCUGCAAAAGUGAUAUUUUGCUCGUGGGUUCAAAUCCCACCUCGACCU
rnacentral:tRNA from 1 species